GAUCCUGGCUCAGGACGAACGCUGGCGGCGUGCUUAACACAUGCAAGUCGAACGGACCGACAUGGAAGCUUGCUUCUAUGAAGGUUAGUGGCGAACGGGUGAGUAACGCGUAAUCAACCUGCCCAUCAGAGGGGGACAACAGUUGGAAACGACUGCUAAUACCGCAUACGAUCCAAUCCCGGCAUCGGGACUGGAUGAAAGGUGGCCUCUACUUGUAAGCUAUCACUGAUGGAGGGGAUUG
rnacentral:rRNA from 1 species